GAUGAACGCUGGCGGCGUGCCUAAUACAUGCAAGUCGAGCGAACAGACGAGGAGCUUGCUCCUCGGACGUUAGCGGCAGACGGGUGAGUAACACGUGUAUAACCUACCUAUAAGACUGGGAUAACUUCGGGAAUCCGGAUCUAAUACCGGAUAAUAUAUUGAACCGCAUGGUUCAAUAGUGAAAGACGGUGUUGCUGUCACUUAUAGAUGGAUCCGCGCCGGAUUAGCUAGUUGGUAAGGUAACGGCUUACCAAGGCAACGAUGCGUAGCCGACCUGAGAGGGUGGUAGGCCACCCUGGAGCUGAGACAGGGUCCAGACUCCUACGGGAGGCAGCAGUAGGGAAUCUUACGCAAUGGGCGAGAGCCUGACGGAGCAACGCGGCGUGAGUGAUGAAGGUGUUCGGAUCGUAAAACUCUGUUAUUAGGGAAGAGCAAAUGUGUAAGUAACUAUGAACGUCUUGACGGUACCUAAUAAGAAAGCAACGGCUAACUACGUG
rnacentral:rRNA from 1 species